CCUAAAGGCGUAAUGAAAGUAAAGAUUGUUGUAUGACAAUUUAGGGAAGAUAGGUUACGUUACGAUGUAAUCUCGCAUUCCCGGGGCAUCUUAUUCUCAUUGAGAAAAGGUGCACCUAGAGCGUACACGUUGGGACCCGAAAGAUGGUGAACUAUGCCUGGUCAGGAUGAAGUCAGGGGAAACUCUGAUGGAGGUCCGUAGCGAUUCUGACGUGCAAAUCGAUCGUCGGAACUGGGUAUAGGGGCGAAAGACUAAUCGAACCAUCUAGUAGCUGGUUCCCUCCGAAGUUUCCCUCAGGAUAGCUGGCAUUUAUACUAUAAGUCUCAUCUGGUAAAGCGAAUGAUUAGAGGCCUUGGGGUCGAAACGACCUCAACCUAUUCUCAAACUUUAAAUGGGUGAGAUCUCUGGCUUGCUUAAAUAUG
rnacentral:rRNA from 1 species